rnacentral:miRNA from 1 species
GUUGACCGAAGCGGAGGAG